CCUACUAAAAGCUUAUAAUACUGAGGUUUGUUCAUUUGGGGAACUUAAUUUCUGGUUGGUUGCUUGCAUGUCUGCCAAUGGUUGUGCCCGUAAGUAUUAAUGCCCACUAGCUGAACUAUCACAGCAUUGUCAGUCUGUGAUGGAAGUUGAAGAGUAAAGAAGCUACUGAAGAGUUCCAAAGCUGACUUCAUUCCAGCUUGCAGCUGCACUCGGCUCAUCUUGAAACUGACUGACAUGGAUUCAACCAGAGGACACAGCAACAACACCAAUUCCUUCCAUACCCCUCAUUAAAUUAAGAUUAGAGGAACAGCGUUCCAAGCUCUUCUGUACCUGUUUGACUGAACAGCUCAUUACUGCAUGCACAGAUGGACCUUAUUUACAUACAUGAGAACCUGACAUGUCAGCAACCUUCUGGAAAAUCAACAGCUGCCAGAUGAGAAGUCCUUCCAGCUGUCUGACAGUUCUAAAGUCCCAAAACUGACUUAAAUUUACCCAGUAAACAUACUUGGUUCAUCUUGGGAUUGAGUGAGACCUGGAUUUGAUCGAAGAACAAAGUGACACCAUCUCUCUCAACUUCUUUAACCAACUUCACCAAACCUUGAAGAGGUUUGAGAACAGGUGUGCUGCUGAUUCUUGGAAAUGCUCUUCUGUGCUAGAGUUCUUUUGAAUUCAAGCUGUUACUAAUACUGAACUUUUAAUGAACUCUAGGUGAGCUGGG